AGCAGCCGCGGUAAUUCCAGCUCCAAUAGCGUAUAUUAAAGUUGUUGCAGUUAAAAAGCUCGUAGUUGAAUUUCGGGGUCAGUAGGUUGGUCGUGCCACUGGUAUGUACUGGUCUUACCGAUUCCUCCUUCCUGAUGAACCGUAAUGCCAUUAAUUUGGUGUUGCGGGGAAUCUGGACUGUUACUUUGAAAAAAUUAGAGUGUUUAAAGCAGGCUAACGCUUGAAUACAUUAGCAUGGAAUAAUGAAAUAGGACGAUCGAUCCUAUUUUGUUGGUUUU
rnacentral:rRNA from 1 species